UGGGGGAUAUUGCACAAUGGGCGAAAGCCUGAUGCAGCGACGCCGCGUGGGGGAUGAAGGCUUUCGGGUUGUAAACCUCUUUCGCUAUCGAACAAGGCCCGCUUAGGGUGGGUUGAGGGUAGGUGGAGAAGAAGCGCCGGCUAACUACGUGCCAGCAGCCGCGGUAAUACGUAGGGCGCGAGCGUUGUCCGGAAUUAUUGGGCGUAAAGGGCUUGUAGGCGGCUUGUUGCGCCUGCUGUGAAAACGCGGGGCUUAACUUCGCGCGUGCAGUGGGUACGGGCAGGCUUGAGUGUGGUAGGGGUGACUGGAGUUCCAGGUGUAGCGGUGGAAUGCGCAGAUAUCUGGGGGCGCACCGAUGGCGAAGGCAGGUCACUGGGCCAUUACUGUCGCUGAGGCGCGAAAGAAUGGGUAGCGAACAGG
rnacentral:rRNA from 1 species